rnacentral:rRNA from 1 species
GGGGAAUAUUGCACAAUGGGCGAAAGCCUGAACCAGCCAAGUAGCGUGCAGGAUGACGGCCCUAUGGGUUGUAAACUGCUUUUAUACAGGAAUAAAGUUAGCCACGUGUGGUUAUUUGUAGGUACUGUAUGAAUAAGGACCGGCUAAUUCCGUGCCAGCAGCCGCGGUAAUACGGAAGGUCCAGGCGUUAUCCGGAUUUAUUGGGUUUAAAGGGAGCGUAGGCCGUCUGUUAAGCGUGUUGUGAAAUGUAGAUGCUCAACAUCGGAAUUGCAGCGCGAACUGGCAGACUAGAGUGUGCGCAACGUAGGCGGAAUGCGUGGUGUAGCGGUGAAAUGCUUAGAUAUCACGAAGAACUCCGAUUGCGAAGGCAGCUUACGGGAGCACAACUGACGCUGAAGCUCGAAAGUGCGGGUAUCGAAC